ensembl:lncRNA
CUGAAGUUGGAGAGUUAUUUUCCUGGGCAGUUGGUGGAGUUUUCCAUCAAUACCUGUUGUAUAUUCAGGAAGGAGAAUUUAGGGGACCCUUUUGACACACUGAGUGUUGGUGACACCACUGACACACACUAAAGGGAAAGCAAGUGUCAGUGUGCACACAGUUCUACCUGACCACUUGGGCCAAGGAGAAAUAGAUCAAGGCUCUCUGGCUCAGUGCCACUAGGUUGGCAGGCUCUAUAUCAAGUGGGGUUGGCUCGCCAUCCAGUACUGGAACAGUUUCUCCAAGGAUCUCCAGAAUCUCCACCGCUGUUUCGGACUUCACCAGUAACCGCGACCACUCAACAUCUGAAUCCAACAAUAAAACCUGAC